AUGGCGGUCCGAAACCCAUACUUUUCACUUUCGAACGGGUGAGUGUACUAUCACUUUGGAAGACGUCUAUAUGUUACUCGGCUUACCUUUUGGAGGUUGAAUUGUUACGGCUCCUCCAA
rfam:Medicago truncatula strain A17 chromosome 6, whole genome shotgun sequence.